rnacentral:lncRNA from 1 species
GCUCAAGGAACUGAAAUCAUCAUGUCCUGAGCUACAUGCCCUGUGCAAGGUCUCUGGCUUAGCACACAGAAAACUCAGAGGAAUCGUAAUUCAGUGAUUCUUGCCAUCUGCAAGCCUGUGGAAUUCAGGUGCCCACAGGAAGGAAUGGAGAGGUUUUUCCAGCCUGACCGUAUCAGCCGUCUCACCACAAGAACCUUCUGUUUUGGCUGUCGUCCCUCUAUCAGACUCAGGCUGUUCCUUAUGGCCAACUAUGAUGUUUCACGUCCUCCUUCUUAAUCUACUGUCUAUCUGGAGACCGUUUCCAACCACUGAGAGUAACAAGGAACAGGAAAUUCAGAGAACUGCACUAAUCAUAAGCUCUCCAGAGUCCAUCUGCAAUGCCGUGUAUUCAGUAGACCUGAUCCUGAUCCUAUGAAAAGUCAGCAUACUACCUAGAAAGAAAGUGCUCAUCAGUUUGAUGUAAACGUCUCAGAUUGGACAGCUACAAUUACAGUAAAUACAACCUGAAACUGUUGUGUGAUAGAGACCAAGGCCAGCUCCUUAUGACUUUCCCUUGGUGUUGCUAUAACUGCCAAAUAGAGAUGAUUACAAAUCUUGCUCCUUCCCACAAAAAGGCUUUUAUGAACUAUAAUGAUAAAAUAUUGACAAAGCAUUUUUGAAUUUGUGGUUCAGAUAUUCCCGGAAUAUCUCAAUGAAUUCAGAGUUUUGGGUUUAAAGAUCAAAGAAUGAGGUCUAAUAAAUGAUGUAUUUCAGUUUAAGGCUUAAAUUAUAUCUUUCAGCCUCCUUGAUUCCUGGAAUUAUUCUUUAUAUUCAAUUUUUCUGCUAACAACUAUUUGUGUGGUAAUUUCUUUUGAGAAACCAUAUUACUGGAUUCUUAAAUAUCUUGUAAAGUAUACUCUGUCUUCUAGUAAAGUUCUUCAGUGGUGACUGGAUUAGAUCUGUCUGAAUAUUUAACAUCAGCAGUACCCUUCAUUGAUGGUAGUGAAAUGCAAGGCAGGAGAAAAAAUCCCUCUCACGGACUGCACAGCUAAGCCUUUUGCCUGACCAAGUAUACCAGUGAAAUCAAACUCAACAAAUGCCUGCUAAUCUCCAUCUUUGUAUAUCAACAAAUAUAUCUUAAAACUUAGAUAAUUUGUAUAUGGUUUCUUUCACCCAAAUGGCCAUCAGAGAACUACAGGCAUAUCUCAGAGAUAUUUAAAGUUUCUUUCCAGGCCACUGCAAUUAAGCAAAUAUUACAAUAAAGCAUCACACACAUUCUUUACUCUACUGAGGUUAGAAUUAACCUAUGCUUGCCUGUGUAUUUACUUCUGUGUUCCUUGUAGUGCUUAGUAGAAUGUUUUCAC